GCGGGAGAGGGAUGGCCGCUCCUUAGCUCCUGAGCGACUCCGGCGCUUCGGUUCCCGCAGCUCUGACUAUUCGGACCCUCAGGGCAGAGCGCGAGGCGGCCCGCUCGCUGCUCCGUGGAGCUGACGGCGUUCUGAGCCCCUCUUAGUUCUUCAGGGUCAAAGUCACCUUCCAAGUAGAAGACAACAAGAAAGAAAAGAAGACCAGAAAAAUAAUGGAAGAAAACCCUUUGCCCCAUGGUUUCUCCAAACCCAGAAGCCAGAACUUUCUCAGAUAUGUAAUGAAUACACUUUCAAAGCCUUAUCUCUUCCGAUCUUUGUAACUUUCGCUUUGUAACUAGGGACCGACUGAAAGGGGAAGGGUUGAGGGCAGAAGCAAGCUGAGUCUGCUUGGUGUUCAUCAUACACUAUCAGCACUUAAGCGCUCAGCCGUUAUUUGCGCUGUGUGAUUCCAAAGGCCCCUUCCCAGUAAGGGACAGUGACAGUGUGGACCCUGUUGUGUCUAUACAGAUAUAAAUCCCAUUUUAAAGAGACUGGGAGAACUCUGUAGAUGCUAUCGAAUCCAUUUACAGUGACAAAAGGGAAAAUUUAUAUGAUUUUAACAAUGUAGAAAAAAGCUAGAAGAACAUAUAGACAAGUAAAAUACUUAUGCUGGUUAAAGUGCCUGAUUGUGGUGAAUUAUUUAAUUUGGAAUUACCUUAACAUUGAUAUAAUGUUGUAAAAUUUUAUUUAAAAUAAAUGAAAGUGUUCUUGUUUUAUCUGUUGCUACAUAAUAAACCACUCCAAAACUAA